CUGCACAACACCGGCCAGCACCCUAAAGUGGCCAAAAUCAAACACACCCACAGGUGCACGCUGUUCUUCCAAACAUGCUAGGUGCGGUGGUUAUGCUAAUGUCGGAUCCUUGCAGAGAAACUUCCAUCUUCAGUGAGGUGUGUGGAACUUUGUGCUUCUGUGAUCCGCUCAACAAGUUUGAAAAAUGUGGACUACUAAACGAGAAGAGAAGUUGAUCCUGCAGCAGAUUGAGCAGAUUGACUUCCCCAUACACAUGACUAGGACAUGCAGUGGUGUCCCUGUCGUCCCAACAUUAACUUUGGUAUUAUAACCAUUUUGCCACAUACCUGCUGAGACAUAUCUUCUGGUAGAGCGCCAACGCCCACUGCAGGGGCCAGCACAGCGCGUUCUCAAACCAGCUCUGACAGCGAAACACUGGGGACAGGCAGACGGCCGCCGUCACGUAGCUAGAUGAUCCACACUCCCCCAAGUAAGAGAGGAGGAGGCCCGACCCGGUGCUCUCACUCACUGCAUACAGUUUCCCUGCAGGCUGUCGGUGUCGAAUGUAGCGCACUGCCUCUCGCAGAUCUGCAGGGUCACCGAACUGCUGCAGCUUCAGGGUGGUCAGCGGGGUGCCGUUGUGGCUUCGGCGGUUGAAAACUGCAGGGAGGUAGCCAUGGGACAGUGCCGUUUCACACAACUGUGGGGAGAUGGGUGGAGAAAAUAAAUAAUAAUCUUUACAUAUGUCAAAAACAUAUUACGGAUUGUGGGCGUUUGCUGGGGAAUUCAGUGUUUAGUGUGUUCAGCCAUAAGAGUAAGACAAGAUCCACCUUUAGUCAAUUUUUAUUUUUGUCCUGCUGAAAAGGACCUAUGAUUUAAUAAAAAAGCCAACUUAGUGUGAACUGGUGUCUUGGUUAUACACAGAAUGAAACAAUGCCUCCUUUUAGAAAAUGGUUUCCAUGUCAUUAGACUGAAUGCGGAUGUAAGACCUGAAAACGGCAUGUUACUUCUACUUUUUACUGUAUGGAAAAAGAAAUAAACAGUCGCCAGGGGAGGUGAGAACUCGGUAAAAUUACAGGAUUAAGUGUUUCCCUCUUUAACUGUGCUGCUUCAGCACUGUUCACUGUAAUACUACAGAUUGUUUAUUUUGUUAUAAUUUGACAGUAUGAGACAUUAGGGCUAAAUAAAUGAAUGUAAGAAAAUGUUAUACAAGUGAAUGAGAAGUAAUACCCCUUUCCUGUUACUUUCACUUUUUUGUAAUGUUUAGCAUAACUUUAUCUUAAGGCUCUUCAGAAACUGGCUCUCAAAUCUCAUAGUUCUGCUAGUUCUCUCUCUGCAUGUUUACAGUAAAUUGUUCUUUACUAGAAACAUUACACGCCUGUAGCGGUGUCAGGGAAGGAAAGCAGAAGAAAAAUAUUAACUUCUUGUUGUAUCAGAUAUUUUAGUAGAUCUCUUUGUUUGUUUAUGUGUUAUUAUAGUGUUAAGUGUUUGUAACAUACUUGGUAUACAUUUUGAAAGGAAAAAAUACAUAUGACACAUGAUCAGAAAUUAGUCAGGCCAAAAUGUAUACUUUAUAAUCAUAAAGUCGUAGAAAUAGCUCUGAAAAGCUCUGUUCCAGUUGCUGAAUAUGACCUUUUAGAAUACAUUAUUAAAUCCAUUACACAAACAGAGGGUUUGUCUGGAAAAAGAAGAG